rfam:Oryza sativa Japonica Group DNA, chromosome 3, cultivar: Nipponbare, complete sequence.
AAAAAAGACAAACUUAGGUUUUCAUAUCCAACGUUUGACCGUCCGUCUUAUAUGAAAAAAAUUAAAAAAACAAGUCACACAUAAAGUAUUAAUCAUGUUUUAUCAUCUAACAACAAUAAAAAUACUAAUUAUAAAAUAAUUUCAUAUAAGACGAACAGUUAAACGUUGGACACGGAAACCUAGGAUUUGUCUUUUU